rnacentral:rRNA from 1 species
UACGAGGGGGGCAAAUGUUGUUCGGAGUCACUGGGCGUAAAGGGAGCGUAGGCGGGCUCUUAAGUUAGGUGUUUAAUCCCGGGGCCCAACCCCGGUCGUGCACUUAAAACUGGGAGUCUUGAAUAGUGGAGAGGUCAGUGGAAUUGGGGGUGUAGCGGUGGAAUGCGUAGAGAUCCCCAAGAACACCAGUUGCGAAGGCGGCUGACUGGACACAUAUUGACGCUGAGGCACGAAAGCGUGGGGAUCAAACAGG